rnacentral:lncRNA from 1 species
UUUUGGAACUAUUUACAAACUCUAGAAACAAUCUCUGUGACCUUGAUAGCAAAUGCUAAAGGACUUACAAUGAACCAAGUUUUUAUGUAUAAACCUUGUUCACAUUUUGUUUUCAUCUUGGGUAGAUUGUUAGAAAAAAAUUUUAUGGUUCAUGACAUGAAUUGUAAACCUGCUGUCUAAAAAUGAUUUAAAGAAUAACAAUUCCUCAGGACAUGAGAUUUUGUCUUAUCCAGAUAGCACAGAGAAUGACCUAUUUAAAACUUUAGGCAAAAAAAAAAAUUGUAUUAUGGUUUUAAUUUUUUUCUUUACUAGUGAGUUUAAGCUUUUUUAAAGCAAACAUAUAAAAUAUUUAUAUUGUCUCUUUUUCUAUUUAUAUCUUUAUUCUUCAUAGCCAUUUCCUACUUUUUUCUUAAUUUUUUUGUUUAUGUUCAGUCUAUAUCAUCCAUAUAUUCAAGAUGUUAACUGGAUGCCAAAAUCUGUCUGUCGUAGUCACCAAGAAUUUAUGCUCAUUUGAGAGACUAUCUGUAAUAACAAUGAUUAUGAUCUUUAAGUAAUUUACACAGUUAAAUAACAGGUACUACUAACAAAAUAGGUAGUUGAUUGACAAAAACUAAAUGCAAAUAAUAUUGCCAGAUAUACACAAAAAUUGCAAUUUCUUUUCUGAGCUAUCCUUUCCUUAAAAUACAACAUGGCUCUACAUUUGACUCAAUUAAAUUAUUUAAAAAUUUUUAAAUAAAUAGGCAAAAGACCCAGAAUAGCCAUUGCAAUAUUGAAGCAGAAGAAUAAAGUUGGAUAAUGACACUAACUGGCCUCAGGACUUACUGUAAAACUAUAGUAAUCCAAAUCGUGUAGUAUUGGUGUAAGAAGAGACAAAUAGAUCAAUGGAACAGAAUUGAGAGCUCAGAAAGAGACCCACAUAACUACAGUCAGCUGAUUUUUAACAAAGGGCAAAUAACAAUACAAUACAAUGUAACAGUCUUUUCAACAAAUGGUGUUGGAACAACCAGACAUCCACAUGCCAAAAAAUAAAAAUAAAAAUAAAAAUAAAAAAAAAAUAAAAAGAAUUCCUUCACAAAAUUAAAUCAAAAUGUGUCACAGACCUAAGUAUAAAAUGCAAAACUCUAAAACUCCAGGUAAAUGACAUAGGAGAAAGCCUACAGUAAACCUAUGGACUUUGGGUAAGGCAAUGACAUUUUAGAUAACAACAUCAAAGGCACGAUCCAUGAAAGAAACAAUUUGUAAGCUGGACUUUAUUAAAAUUAAAUAAAGUCUACUCUGAGAAAGACAAUGUCAAAAGAAUGAGAAGUCAAGCCAUACAAAGCUAGAAAAUAUUUGCAAAAGACAUCUGAUGAAGGACUGUCAUACAAAACAUACCAAGAACACUUGGUGAGGAUGCGGAGCAAUAGGAACUCUGAUUCAUUGCUGAUGGGGAUCCCAAAACGGUGCAGCCACUUCGGAAGUCAUAUGGCAGUUUCUCAGGAAACUAAACAAACUCCUACACAUGAUCCAAUAAUCAUGCUCCUUGGUAUUCAUACAAAGUAGUUGAAAACUUAUGUCCACACAACAACUUGCACAUGAUGUCUCCAGCAGCUUUAUUCAUCAUCGACCAAACUUGGAAGCAACCAAGAUGCCCUUCAGUAGGUGAACAGAUAAACAAAUGGUGGUUCAUGCAGACAAUGGAAUAUUACUCAGCACUAAAACAAAAUGAGCUAUCAAGCCAUGAAAAGAUAUGGAGGAAAUUAAUGCAUGAUAUUCAGUGAAGGAAGCCAGUCUGAAAAGGCUCCUUGCUGUAUGACUGCAACUGUAAGGCCUUCUGGAAAAAACAAAACUAUGGAGAUAUUUUAUUUAUUUAUUUAUUUUCUCAUUUGGUCACUCUUUUUUUUUUUUUUUUUUUUUUUUUUUUUUUGAGGUGGUCUCUGCCCUGGCCCUGAAUCUAAAAUGUCCCUCCCCCUAGCUAGCAUCCUUUUCACGGAGCCCAGGUCUUUUCUGUCCCAGUGCUUAUGAGAGUUUGUGUUGAAAACCCUUUGACAUCAUGGUGGUAAAUUUUGUAAGUCCAUCUCUGGUUUACUUAUCUCUGUUUAAAGAACUUGUCUCUUAGAGAGCGUCAUGUCAACUACACAUGAAUUCCAGAAGCGGAACUUGAUAAAAGUAAUUAUGUUCAUAGUAGACACUGUGCAUGUAAGUUGACACCCUUCUCUUCAAUAUCAACAUCCACUGAUUUACACAGGGAGUGAGGGAAAACCUUAAAGGAAGCAUCAAGAUUAGAAGCAGGGGUCUGAAGCAUGCCUGGGUGACUUGGGCGAAUGCUAGGACUUGCAGAAGUGAGGUGGGUAAACAGGGCGCAAAGAGCUGGUGUGAAAAAAGCAUCCUAGAUGUCUGUGAGUGCAAGGACUUGGCCCUGAAGGAGCUGCAGGAAACCAGGGGAAUGACCACCAGAGAAAGCAAAGCGACAUCCCCAGAUCUUAGUUGGAAUAUGGUGAACUCUGGAAAGCAGUCCAUGCCCAGUGUCUUGCUUCCAUUACCCUCCACUUCUAACCACCCUCCCAUAGGCCAAGGGGCACAGGGGACACCUGCAUUACAUGGACACAGAUUAAAAGCUAACAUUUAAGGUGAAAGGAAUUGACCUGUUAUGGGAAGAUACUGAAAGUCAGAUAUAUGCAUACGUGUGUAUUUAUGUAUUUGUUUAGUUAAUAGUUUCUCUUACAAUGUUACAAGUUGCACAAUCACAAAUAUUUCAGUGCAGUUUAAAAAUGUAUGCUAACAUGGUUAGUGUUUUUCACCAGUGUUUUUACCAUGUGGCUAGUGUUUUUACCAGUCAGCCCCACAGCAUGUGUAGGAGUGGGGAUGUGGGCGUACCACGGAAAAUGGGGGUGGAGAAAGGAUUGUGCUAAUUAACAAUCACAGGAUGGCCACAUUCGUAGAAGUAAUUCUAGAAAAAGUCUGUACUCUCCAGCAGUGUUAUGUAUUAUGCCCACAUCAAUAAGUAUUAUGAAGCGGUUGUAAGAAAUUAUAAGGGAAUAGAUAAACAGCAAAGUCCUAUUAUACAGCACAGGGAAUUACAUCCAAUCUCCUGGGACAGACCAUGAUGAAAAAGAAUAUGAAAAAGAAUGUAUGUAUAUAUAUAUAAAACUGACUCACUUUUCUGCACAGCAGAAAAUGGCUGUAAACAUUGUAAAUCAACUAAACUUUAAUAAAAAAUAAAGAAAUUAUAAGUAAUCAGUAACGCACCUUCAUGGAAUAGAACAAUCAGAGAAACUAGAGUAGUCAGCAAAGCCAUAUUUCUGUGGGAAAGUAAUUCUGUGAAACAGAAGAGUAUUGUGUUGGCAGUGAAGGUCUUCAAACGGUGACAAUCUAUAGUUUGCGACACUUAGGAUUAGCAAGAAGGACAAGGAUUGAUUGUUUCAGACAGGUGAGAUACAGCACUUACAGGAAAUUUGUGAAAAUGUGUUAGUGGUUGACAGACUAAGUAAUAAGGCCUGUAAAAUUCUUAGGAACCAAGGUUUUGCUGUGAGGAAUGUCUGCCUUCUGCUUGCAUUUAUCCAACACCUUCUCCAGAUUGCCAAACAACUUGUCUGACUCAACAGAAGUUGCUAAAUUGUGAUUAAGAUUAGGGUUUUGGCUUUUAUAAUGGCUUUAUCUGAUCCCUAAAUCAGAGGUUAAGAUUCUCUGAGUUACAUCAUCUACCAACUAGAGUGCUGUUUUGAAAACAGAUGGAGCAAAAAACCAUAAUGGAUCUUGGACUAUAAAACUACAGUGCCCAUGAAAAGGAACAAGCAGAGAUAAUCUUUUUAUGUGCCAGUAAAUUAAAAAGAAAAAAACUCCUCAAUAGCCAAGUUAAGUAUAUUAUCUUUGGAGAAUUAGAAGUGUAUUUAAUCAUGAUACUAAUAAAAUUUCUUUCAAAAACAAUAUGUUGUCAGUGUGAUUUACACUUUAAUGUAAUAACACUGUUUGAAGCUGUGGUUUGUGAUUCUUUGAGUCUUAUUAUAAUUUAAAGAGAGGAAGUUAUGCCUUUGGUUUGUAAUGUGUUCAUGGAAAACAUAUUCAUAUACACACAGAAAAAUAAAAUCAUGAUUUUUAUAGCUAAGAAAGAUCAAAAUUUGACCUUCAGCCAGUAGAUGGAGAAGUUGAUCUUAGAUUCACAAUCCUAUUUAAAAAGUCUCUUUGUGAGUUCCAGAAGCAUAGAGUAAAACUGCUGCUGAUUCAGGUAUUUGGGGGUUGUUUUCAUGGUUAUUUUCUGAUUGUUCUGCAAAAAACAGCUCUUCCAGUUGCUGUCCACAUCUCCUGGGGGAUCAGUAUUUUUUCUUGGAGGUUUAUCCUACACAGCCCUUAUGUGUUUUGUCCAUAGGCAUGUGUUUUAAACUG